GAUGAACGCUAGCGGCAGGCUUAAUACAUGCAAGUCGUGGGGCAGCAGGGGUGUAGCAAUACAUCUGCUGGCGACCGGCAAACGGGUGCGUAACACGUACGCAACCUUCCCGUUACUGUGGCAUAGCCCAGGGAAACUUGGAUUAAUACCACAUAUUAUAUAGAGAGGGCAUCCUUUUUAUAUCAAAGCUUCGGCGGUAACGGAUGGGCGUGCGGUUGAUUAGGUAGUUGGCGGGGUAACGGCCCACCAAGACUACGAUCAAUAGCUGAUGUGAGAGCAUGAUCAGCCACACGGGCACUGAGACACGGGACCGACUCCUACGGGAGGCAGCAGUAAGGAAUAUUGGGCAAUGGACGAAAGUCUGACCCAGCCAUGCCGCGUGAAGGAUUAAGGUCCUCUGGAUUGUAAACUUCCUUUCUCUGUGGCGAAAACCAGCUAUUCUUAGCUAUUUGACAGUACCAGAGGAAUAAGCACCGGCUAACUCCGUGCCAGCCGCCGCGGUAAGAC
rnacentral:rRNA from 1 species